AUUGAACGCUGGCGGCAGGCCUAACACAUGCAAGUCGAACGAGUGGCGGACGGGUGAGUAAUGUCUGGGAAACUGCCUGAUGGAGGGGGAUAACUACUGGAAACGGUGGCUAAUACCGCAUACUAUCAGAUGAGCCCAGGUGGGAUUAGCUAGUUGGUGGGGUAAAGGCCCACCAAGGCGACGAUCCGUAACUGGUCUGAGAGGAUGAUCAGUCACACUGGAACUGAGACACGGUCCAGACUCCGACGGGAGGCAGCAGUGGGGAAUAUUGGACAAUGGGCGAAAGCCUGAUGCAGCCAUGCCGCGUGUAUGAAGAAGGUCUUAGGAUUGUAAAGCACUUUAAGUUGGGAGGCGUUACCAGCAGAAGAAGCACCGGCUAACUUCGUGCCAGCAGCCGCGGUAAUAC
rnacentral:rRNA from 1 species